UACAGAGGGGGGCAAGCGUUAUUCGGAAUUAUUGGGCGUAAAGGGCGCGUAGGCGGCCUGGCAAGUGGAAGGUGAAAUCCCUCGGCUUAACCGAGGAACUGCCCUCCAAACUGCUUGGCUUGAGUCCGGGAGAGGUGAGUGGAAUUCCCAGUGUAGCGGUGAAAUGCGUAGAUAUUGGGAGGAACACCAGUGGCGAAGGCGGCUCACUGGACCGGAACUGACGCUGAGGCGCGAAAGCGUGGGGAGCAAACGGGG
rnacentral:rRNA from 1 species